AAAAAACAUUAUCAGACUACUGUUUUAAGUUUUGGGUAGUUUGAAAUACAAGACCUGAUUGACAUAUUGAUAAAGACUUUGUUUCCUUUAACACAGGGAUAAUGAUAUCAACAUCACUAUGUAAUCUAAAUGACAUCCUGCUGUUAUCACUUUACCUGCUUAAGAACAGGCUGACUAACUAUGCAACUCCACAAGGAAGGACACCAGCUUCCCCUGAAGUCACCCACAGCAUCAAGGUUGGAGGUGGUGAAAGACAGAGAUCUUGGAAAAAGUAUGGGACCUGAGACACCUUCUGCCUGCCCUUUAUCAAUGCGCCUGCCGCAGCUCCCAUCACCUAGUGUGUUUCCUUCUGGGCCCUAACAGCAGCGUGUUAAUCUUACUUCCUCUCUUCCACUUGCACGCAGAGACCCUACCCAGUUCCCAGCAUAUGGUGGGGACUCCAUAAGCACUUCCUUAAUGAAUGAAUCCAGAGCAACCAUAGGAGAGAUAUUAUAAUGAUCUGCAUUUCACAUAAAAGCACAGAGAGAUACAAAAAGAUUCAGUAACUUGUCCAAGAUCAUAGUGGAGGAACUGAGGUUCAAACUGUGUUCUGACCAUAGCUGGGCUCUCAAACUGCUGCAAGAAUGGAUCCUCAGCCUUAAAUAGAAUAGCAGCCUUCUUUUCCAGCAAAAACUGAAUUCCUCAUCUAAGAAUGUCAACUCUUUUCACCACUUGACUCAGAUUUUUCCCAGGGGGGAAAAAAAUCCAGAAUUAAAACCCAUGUGGCCAAACUGUAGAAUCAGUGGCAAUUUCUUACCAUUUCAAAACUCAUCUGUUCAUACCAGAAACUUCCUUACAAUUUUCCAAAACAGAUUAAAAAGACUUUUACCUCAUACAAAAUUACAACAAAAUUUUUUGCACUCUUUUUUUUAAAGAUUUUAUUUAUUUAUUUGACAGAGAG